GAAGCAAAGCCGCGAGGUAGAGCAAAUCUCAAAAAAACAAUCUCAGUUCAGACUGCAGGCUGCAACUCGCCUGCACGAAGUCGGAAUUGCUAGUAAUCGUAGGUCAGCAUACUACGGUGAAUACGUUCCCGGGCCUUGUACACACCGCCCGUCAAACCAUGAGAGUUGGCAACACCCGAAGUCGGUAGUCUAACCGCAAGGAGGACGCCGCCGAAGGUGGGGUUGAUGAUUAGGGUUAAGUCGUAACAAGGUAUC
rnacentral:rRNA from 1 species